rnacentral:rRNA from 1 species
UACGUAGGGGGCAAGCGUUGUCCGGAUUUACUGGGCGUAAAGCGCGUGUAGGCGGCUUCGCAAGUCGGAUGUGAAAUCCCACGGCUCAACCGUGGAAGUGCAUUCGAAACUGCAAGGCUAGAGUCCUGGAGAGGAAGGUGGAAUGCUUGGUGUAGAGGUGAAAUUCGUAGAUAUCAAGCGGAACACCGGUGGCGAAGGCGACCUUCUGGACAGUGACUGACGCUGAGACGCGAAAGCGUGGGGAGCAAACAGG